GCCUCCACGUCUCAUGCUGCAGGGAAGUUGGGAAUCCAUCAAGGAUGCAGACACGUAGCUUCAUGUUACCAUCCUCUUCUCUCUUGCUCCUGGUGGACCUGGCUGAUGCAUCACAGAGCUCAUUCCUGCAAGUCUGGGCUCAGCCUCAGAUCCUCAUGCCAGCACCAGGCAGCCAAUACCAAUAGAAUUGUUAGGUGAGAUGAAACCUGUUUGCCACUCAUAGAUGAGAAAAGCUCAUCUGGCUCCUUUAGCAGAUGUUUGUUUCUUGCAGCCCCAAGACUAGCACCUACCAACUCCUCAGUCCUGGGGGCGGACUUGCCAUCAAGCAUGAAAGAAAAAGCCAAGGUGAGUGGGACUGCCUUCCAAGCUAUUGCCUGUGGGAUUUAAGGUGCCUGGUAGGGGACAGUCUUCCAUGUCAGAGAAGGAUAGGGUUGUGAGUAAUUGCCCCACCUGGAUUCAGAGCUCAACCUGUGUCGCCAGUUGUGGGAUCUUAGUCCCUUCACCUCUCUGGGCCUCAGUUUACUUUUCUAUAAGAUGAGGAUGAUGCCUGCUGCAGUGGGCCACUGGGCACAUUCUACACCUGGGGUAGGUGAUUUCUUUCCUCUUUCAUGCCUGCAUUCACCUGUUCACUCAACAGAUCUUGACUAAUACCCGUUAUGUUUCAGGCACUGUGCUAGGUGUGGAGGCACCGUAGUGAUCAAGACAUCUGUGGUUCUGAAACUCUAAAAGCAUUUUCCAAGCUGGAAACUGCUCAAAAAACAAGGUGUCAUUUUCUAAUAAUCCAGAAAGCAGAGUUAGAUACAUACAUGUAUAAAGAAUUGUGCCUCUGCAAUUGCCUGGAGCAUUAGCAACAAUGUCUCAAAGUAAUUAUGAAGUAAUGAUAAGAUCAACAACAAACUGCUACUUACCACUUAGUAAAUAACUACCAUGUCCCAAGAACUGGGAUUCUGUUUUCUCAACACCUGGUGAGAGGAGGUGCUGUUUUUAACCUCACUUUAAAGAUUGGGAAACAGAUUGAAGGGGUAGUUUACCCAAACUCACACAGCUAAGAAGUGGUAAGAUUGGGUUCAGAUGCAAGUGGCCUGUGCUCUUAGUUCACCAUGCUAUACCAGAUGUGUCUGUCACUCUUGUUCUCUGUAGGCAGAGACAGAGAAAGCUGGCAAGACUGGGAACUCCGUGCCACAUCCUGCCACUGGGAAGACGGUGGCCAACCUUCUUUCUGGGAAGUCUCCCAGGAAGUCAGCAGAGCCCUCAGCAAAUACUACGUUGGUCUCAGAAACUGAGGAGGAAGGCAGCGUCCCCGCCUUUGGAGCUGCUGCCAAGCCUGGGAUGGUGUCAGCGGGCCAGGCCGACAGCUCCAGCGAGGACACCUCCAGCUCCAGUGAUGAGACAGACGUGGAGGGGAAACCCUCAGUAAAACCAGCCCAGGUCAAAGCCUCAUCAGUUUCUACUAAGGAGUCUCCAGCAAGAAAGGCGGCCCCAGCCCCUGGGAAGGUGGGGAAUGUGACACUCCAGGUCAAAGGAGGGGCCCUGCCCCCAGCCAAGAGGGCCAAGAAGCCAGAAGAGGAGUCAGAGAGUAGUGAGGAGGGAUCUGAAAGUGAGGAGGAGGCCCCUGCAGGGACACCAAGCCAGGUAAAGGCCUCUGAAAAAAUUCUCCAGGUCAGAGCUGCCUCGGCCCCUGCCAAGGGGACCCCUGGGAAAGGGGCUACCCCAGCACCCCCUGGGAAGGCAGGGGCUGUAGCCUCCCAGACCAAGGCAGGGAAGCCAGAGGAGGACUCAGAGAGCAGCAGCGAGGAGUCGUCUGACAGUGAGGAGGAGACACCAGCUGCCAAGGCCCUGCUUCAGGCGAAGGCCUCAGGAAAAACCUCUCAGGUCGGAGCUGCCUCAGCGCCUGCCAAGGAGUCCCCCAGGAAAGGAGCUGCCCCAGCGCCCCCUGGGAAGACAGGGCCUGCAGUUGCCAAGGCCCAGGCAGGGAAGCGGGAGGAGGACUUGCAGAGCAGCAGCGAGGAUUCAGACAGUGAGGAGGAGGCGGCGCCUGCUCAGGUGAGGCAGAGAGGUGGGGUGGAGAGUAGCCCCAUGCCUAAACGCCAGCACCUGCAUGGGUGUGGCCACCUUUGCCACAUCCAGCUCCUGUCUCCACACGUCCACCCUCCGGGCUGUCCCCUCAUCCUGUUUCUCACUCCAGGCGAAGCCUUCAGGGAAGGCCUCCCAGGUCAGAGCCACCUCGGCCCUUGCCAAGGAGUCCCCCAGGAAAGGGGCUGCCCCAGCACCUCCUAGGAAAACAGGGCCUGCAGCCGCCCAGGUCCAGGCGGGGAAGCAGGAGGAGGACUCAGGAAGCAGCAGCGAGGAGUCAGACAGUGACAGAGAGGCACCGGCAGCCAUGAACGCAGCUCAGGUAAGGCUGGAAGCCGCCCUGCAUGGCCUGUGCCCUGCCUCAAAAGACCUCCUGUGGAUUUGAUUUUUCCUCUCUGAACCUAGAGCCCUGUGCAGCUGGCUUCGUUUGCUCUCCUCCCCUCACUCACGUUCUUCUUCUGGACUCCCUCCCUAAUCUUGUCCUUUGUGUCUCCCAGGUGAAGCCCUUGGGGAAAAGCCCCCAGGUGAAAUCUGCCUCCACCAUGGGCAUGGGGCCCUUGGGGAAAGGCACCGCCCCAGUGCCACCUGGGAAGGUGGGGCCUACAACCCCCUCAGCCCAGGUGGGGAAGUGGGAGGAGGAAUCAGAGAGCAGCAGUGAGGAGUCAUCAGACAGCAGUGAUGGAGAGGUGCCCACAGCUGUGGCCCCGGCUCAGGAAAAGUCCUUGGGGAAAAUCCUCCAGGCCAAACCCGCCUCCAGUCCUGCCAAGGGGCCCCCUCAGAAGGCAGGGCCUGUAGCCAUCCAGGUCAAGGCUGAAAAGCCCAUGGAAGACUCGGAGAGCAGCGAGGAGUCGUCGGACAGUGCGGACAGUGAGGAGGCACCAGCAGCCAUGACUGCAGCUCAGGUGAGGCCUGGAGAAGGAGGCUGCCACAUGGCCUGAUCUGCCACACAGUCAGCCCCCUGGGGAGCUGUGCUCCCUCAGGCAGAGCAUGGGUUCUGGCUGGUGGGGCAGAACAGUAGUGGGGAUCCACUUCAGAACAGAUGGGGGACUCUGAGUUCAGGAACCUUCUCCAGCCUUUCUUUGGUGUCCCCUCAGGCAAAACCAGCUCUGAAAAUUCCUCAGACCAAGGCCUGCCCAAAGAAAACCAAUACCACUGCAUCUGCCAAGGUUGCCCCUGUGCGAGUGGGCACGCAAGCCCCCCGGAAAGCAGGAACUGUGACUUCUCCAGCAGGCUCAUCCCCAGCUGUGGCUGGGGGCACCCAGAGACCAGCAGAGGAUUCUUCAAGCAGUGAGGAAUCAGAUAGUGAGGAAGAGAAGACAGGUCUUGCAGUAACCGUGGGACAGGCGAAGUCUGUGGGGAAAGGCCUCCAGGUGAAAGCGGCCUCAGUGCCUGUCAAGGGGUCCCUGGGGCAAGGGACUGCUCCAGUACUCCCUGGGAAGACGGGGCCUACAGUCACCCAGGUGAAAGCUGAGAUGCAGGAAGACUCUGAGAGCAGUGAGGAGGAAUCAGACAGUGAGGAGGCAGCUGCAUCUCCAGCACAGGUGAAAACCUCAGUAAAGAAAACCCAGGCCAAAGCCAACCCAGCUGCCGCCAGAGCAUCUUCAGCAAAAGGGACAAUUUCAGCCCCUGGAAAAGUUGUCACUGCAGCUGCUCAAGCCAAACAGAGGUCUCCAUCCAAGGUGAAGCCACCAGUGAGAAACCCCCAGAACAGUACCGUCUUGGCGAGGGGCCCAACAUGUGUGCCACCUGUGGGGAAGGCCGUGGCUACAGCAGUUCAGGCCCAGACAGGGCCAGAGGAGGACUCAGGGAGCAGUGAGGAGGAGUCAGACAGUGAGGAGGAGGCGGAGACGCCAGCUCAGGCGAAGCCUUCAGGGAAGACCCCCCAGAUCAGAGCUGCCUUGCCUCCUGCCAAGGAGUCCCCCAGGAAAGGGGCUGCCCCAACACCUCCUGGGAAGACAGGGCCUUCAGCUGCCCAGGCGGGGAAGCAGGAUGACUCAGGGAGCAGCAGCGAGGAGUCAGACAGUGAUGGGGAGGCACCAGCAGCUGUGACCUCUGCCCAGGUGAGACUUGCCAGGCUUCUGAGCCACCAACACUCACUCCUCAGAACGGGGGUAUAGGGCUGGGUGCGGUGGCUCACACCUGUAAUCCUAGCACUUUGGGAGGCCGAGGCAGAUGUAUCACUUGAGGUCAGGGGUUCAAGACCAGCCUGGCCAACAUGGUGAAACCCCGUCUCUACUAAAAAUAUAAAAAUUAGCUGGGCAUGGUGGCGGGUGCCUGUAAUCCCAGCUACUCGGGAGGCUGAGGCAGGAGAAUCCCUAGAACCUGGGAGGCGGAGGCUGCAGCAAGCCGAGAUCACGCCACUGCACUCCAGCCUGGGCGAUGAGAGUGAGACUGUCUCCAAAAAAAAAAAAAAAGGAAGAAAAGUGAAAAAGCAGGGUUUAGGGCCAGGUAAGGAAAAGGAAGGAAGGCCAGGUUAAGGUUAAGACUCCAGCUCCACCAUACCCUCCUCCCUCUGCUGUCAUCCACAUCUCCUUAGGUAAAACCUGCUACUAAAACCCCCCAAACGAAGACUUCCCUAGCUAAAAGUGUCCUGGGUCUAUAUCUAGGUCGAGGUCUCCACCAGCUCUAUAAGCUAGGCCAGUAUCUCCCACCAAGGCAUAUGAGACCAAGAAUCUACAUGUUAGUUAUUGUGCAUACGUUAACGUAAUACAAAAUGACUCUCCCUGUCAGAGUCCCAGGGAAGCUUGGAGUGUGGCACAGGUCCCCCUGAGGUCCUGGAGAGAUGGAGGAAGUCUCUUCCUGCACCUUGGCCCGGAGCCUCACAUAGGCAGGCGCAUCUUCUCAGGCAGGGCUUGUCUAGCUUAGUGCAAAGUCUGGACCCUGGAGAGUGGGGAGAAAAAAAAUCUGAACAAUUCCCUCUGUCUGCUUGCAGAAGAUAGCAGGGCUUGCUACAUCCUACAGAAGUGUAGGAUGACAAACUCCAGCACUGCCAGGGCACAGGUGUGUGAUGGACAUGACUGAUGCAGGCCUGGCAGAAAUGACAGAUGUCAGCCGGGUGCGGUGGCUCAAGCCUGUAAUCCCAGCACUUUGGGAGGCCAAGGCGGGCGAAUCAUGAGGUCAGGAGUUCGAGACCAGCCUGGCCAACAUGGUGAAACCCUGUCUCUACUAAAAAAAUACAAAAA
rnacentral:sRNA from 1 species